rnacentral:rRNA from 1 species
UACAGAGGUGGCAAGCGUUGUUCGGAAUUACUGGGCGUAAAGGGCGCGUAGGCGGCCUUCUAAGUCAGACGUGAAAUCCCUCGGCUUAACUGAGGAACUGCACGGGAUACUGCAUGACUUGAGAUCGGGAGAGGGAAGCGGAAUUCCGGGUGUAGCGGUGAAAUGCGUAGAUAUCCGGAGGAACACCGGUGGCGAAGGCGGGUCUCUGGGCAUCUCCUGACGCUGAGGCGCGAAAGCGUGGGGAGCAAACAGG